rnacentral:lncRNA from 1 species
AGGCUGAGGCAGGAGAGUCGCUUGAGCCUGGGAGGUGGAGGUUGCAGUGAGCUGAGAUCGCACCACUGCACCCCAGCCUGGGCAACAAGAGUGAAACUCCAUCUCAAAAAAAAAAAAAAAGGUACAUGAAACAUAUGAAGCAAAAAGUGAAAGUCCCCAUUCUUUUCCUUUUUCCAGAGGUGAUUUUUGUGGCCAAUCUGGUUUCAUUUCCUCCCAGACACUUUUCUAGGCAUCUAUGUGCCUCUAUUCACAUAUAAACAAAAUAGGAGUUUUCCUGUGCUUCCCUUAAAUGGCAUAUGUAUCAUUCACUCUAUUUUUUCACCUAGUGGAUCUUUAAUACCUUAAAAGCUCAACCUGGGCUUGGUGCGGUGGCUCAUACCUGUAAUCCCAGGCCUUUGGGAGGCCAAGGUGGGAGGAUCACUUGAGCGCAGGAGUUCCAGACCAUUCCAAAGCCAAA